AACGCACAUUGCGCCCUCUGGUAUUCCGGAGGGCAUGCCUGUUCGAGCGUCGGAAAAAGGGUGGGGUGAAAAGCCCCGUGCUAGGCCCACGGAAGGUCAGCUUCCGGGCUUGAAAUCGGUCGGCAGCGCCGGAUCACGUCUCGAGUACGCGGAAAAGUGCUUCGGACAUCGACGGGCGUGGGAAGCCUCGGAACGCCCCGGUGAAAGGGGCCUCUUUCUAAGUUUAUGACCUCGAAUCAGGUAGGAAUACCCGCUGAACUUAA
rnacentral:misc_RNA from 1 species